rnacentral:rRNA from 1 species
CUACGGGUUGCUGCAGUGCGGAAUAUUGCACAAUGGGGGGAACCCUGAUGCAGCAACGCCGCGUGGAGGAUGACGCAUUUCGGUGUGUAAACUCCUUUUAUAUGUCAAGAAAAUGACGGUAGCAUAUGAAUAAGCACCGGCUAACUCCGUGCCAGCAGCCGCGGUAAUACGGAGGGUGCAAGCGUUACUCGGAAUCACUGGGCGUAAAGGACGCGUAGGCGGGUUGGAAAGUCAGGUGUGAAAUCCUACAGCUUAACUGUAGAACUGCACUUGAAACUUCUAAUCUAGAGUAUGGGAGGGGGAGAUGGAAUUAGUGGUGUAGGGGUAAAAUCCGUAGAUAUCACUAGGAAUACCUAAAGCGAAGGCGAUCUCCUGGAACAUUACUGACGCUAAGGCGUGAAAGCGUGGGGAGCAAACAGGAUUAAAUACCCGGGUAGUC